rnacentral:rRNA from 1 species
AGCGAACGCUGGCGGCGUGCUUAACACAUGCAAGUCGAGCGAAGGUGUUUCAAGGGUAACCUUGAGAUACACUUAGCGGCGGACGGGUGAGUAGUACGUGGAUAACUUACCUCUAGGCCUGGGAUAACCCCGGGAAACUGGGUCUAAUACCGGAUAUGCGCUGCUUAUCGCAUGGUGGGUGGUGGAAAGUCCUGUUCUGUAAUGGAUUGGGGCGGCUGGGGAUGGGCCCGCGGCCUANCAGCUUGUUGGUGGGGUGAUGGCCUACCAAGGCGACGACGGGUAGCCGGCCUGAGAGGGCGACCGGCCGACACUGGGACUGAGACACGGCCCAGACUCCUACGGGAGGCAGCAGUGGGGAAUAUUGCGCAAUGGGCGGAAGCCUGACGCAGCGACGCCGCGU